ACAAUUAUAGGUAAAUUGGCAUACCUGUGGAGUUACAAUCCACCAUUACAUAAAAGUUAAUUGUU
rnacentral:tRNA from 1 species